AUUGAACGCUGGCGGCAUGCCUUACACAUGCAAGUCGAACGGCAGCACGGGUGCUUGCACCUGGUGGCGAGUGGCGAACGGGUGAGUAAUAUAUCGGAACGUGCCCUAGAGUGGGGGAUAACGUAGCGAAAGUUACGCUAAUACCGCAUACGAUCUACGGAUGAAAGUGGGGGAUCGCAAGACCUCAUGCUCCUGGAGCGGCCGAUAUCUGAUUAGCUAGUUGGUGGGGUAAAAGCCUACCAAGGCGACGAUCAGUAGCUGGUCUGAGAGGACGACCAGCCACACUGGGACUGAUACACGGCCCAGACGCCUACGGGAGGCAGCAGUGGGGAAUUUUGGACAAUGGGGGAAACCCUGAUUCAGCAAUGCCGCGUGUGUGAAGAAGGCCUUCGGGUUGUAAAGCACUUUUGUCAGGAACGAAACGGUGGGGGCUAAUAUCUCCUGCUAAUGACGGUACCUGAAGAAUAAGCACCGGCUAACUACGUGCCAGCAGCCGCCGUAA
rnacentral:rRNA from 1 species